CUUUGAACACCAUGGAGCUGGAUGUGAGCAAACACUGUGCAGAAAGGGAUGCUCUGGCUAGAGAAUUUAAUGCCUUAUUGGAUUAGAACCCUAGAAAAUAUAAAGGAUAUGUUCAUGGAAGGUCUUUCCUUUACUGUAUCCAGCAUAUGAGAAUUCAUUUUUAAAAGUGUCUGGAUGGAAGGAAUAAAUAGUGACUAUUGUUCUGCAUGUUUCAGUUGACUUCCCCACAGUGGUCAGCUCUGACAUUGAAAGACAUGAUAAAAUUAACAAGCUCACAUCUUUCUCCUUCAUCCUCUGCAACUAGGUUGGUGUUUCCAAGUCAUCACACUGGCAGCAGAAAGUGGAACAAUGACAUAUAUUUGAUGAGGAGGAGAUGGGGUCAAAUGCCUUUAUGGCUAGGAAAGCUGCUCAGGGAAUGAGAACACCAUUUUAAUGCAAUUUGGUUGACCACAGCUGAAGAAAACCAUACAUUAUUUGGAACAUGUGGCAGAUGACUCUGUAGGACUAGAGCAUCCCCUUCUGUCUGGGAAGCAGCUUGUGCAAGGGAAGGAAGAAAGCUGCUUUGGACAAAUCAAACCAGCUCUGCCUGAGCUUAUACUCACAGUGAUAAAUGAGACGAUAAAUGACCUCUGCAGGUAUGAGAGACUGUUCUUGCAGCCUUGUCCUAAUGGGAAGCUUUAUUGGAACAACACUUCUGUUUUAAACAGUCUUCUGACAUUAAUUGCUAUAUUGUCUUGAACAUAGAAAUCACUAUGCCAUUAGGAAUAUAUUGUUUUUCUCACUUCGAAUAAUAAUUCUCCUAAAAGGCUUUCUUUUUAAAAAAUCUGUAUCCAGCCAUCAAGUGUUCUGCUCUGUCAUAAGCUAAUGAGGCAAUGUACACUUACAUGUAAGCAGCUCCUCUUUUCAAAGUAAAAAUAACAUUAUUAUUAUUUUUUUUUAAAUUGUAAGAAACAGAUGUUUCUGGUCCUCACAGGAUGUUUUCCACUGCUCACUGAAUGACCUGCAGCAGGAGAAAAGUAUAUGUAGAAAUUAUUUUACAGCUUCAUCUCUCUCAUCUCUCAAGAUAUUACCUAGAAUCCAACACUUGAAGUCUAAAUUCUGUCAUUAAAAUCUUCUCCAUUUGAAACAAAAGCCCAACCUCUUCCCCUCAAUAAUUCCCUUAAUUUAACACAAAUCUGUGAGAUUUUUGCCUUCUACAAAACUAUAUUUUAUUGUACACUUGCUACCCAAUAAAAAUGCUAUGUGACACUUAUUGGGACUGUUC
rnacentral:lncRNA from 1 species